ACAGGAAGGAGGGUCUAGUCAGAGCACAGGGAGGAGGGGCUAGUCAGAGCACAGGGAUGUGGGGCUAGUCAGAGCACAGGGAGGUGGGGCUAGUCAGAGCACAGGGAGGAGGGACUAGUCAGAACACAGGAAGGAGGGGCUAGUCAGAGCACAGGGAUGUGGGGCUAGUCAGAGCACAGUGAGGAGGGGCUAGUCAGAGCACAGGGAUGUGGCGCUAGUCAGAGCACAGUGAGGAGGGGCUAGUCAAAGCACAGGCAGGAGGGGCUAGUCAAAGCACAGGGACGAGGGGCUAGUCAGAGCACAGGGAUGUGGGGCUAGUCAGAGCACAGGGAGGAGGGGCUAGUCAGAGCACAGGGAGGAG
ensembl:lncRNA